rnacentral:RNase_P_RNA from 1 species
CAGGAGGACCGGGCGGUCGCUGCCGGGGGCAGGACGCCUGAGGGCGCAACCGCUUCCGGGGGAGGAAAGUCCGAACUCCGCAGGGCAGUGUGCCGGAUAACGUCCGGGACGCGGACUCGCGAGGGUCCGUGGACGGCCAGUGCCACAGAGAAUAUACCGCCCGAGCCGGGCGCGAUCUUCGGAUUGUAUUCGGUGGGAGGAGCCUAAAAGGCGUAAGCCUGGACGGCAACUCCCUCGGGUAAGGGUGAAAAGGUGCGGUAAGAGCGCACCGCUCCAACGGUAACGGUGGAGGCAGGGUAAACCCCACACGGAGCAAGACCAAAUAGGGAGGGAAGCGGGAGCCAAGAGCCAGGCUUCGGCUGCGCAUCUGCCCGAUGCGACAAGGCGGCUCGAGCAAUUGCCGAAACCUCCGGGUAGGUUGCUGAUGAGUGUCCGCGGCAACGCGGCGCCUAGAGGAAUGACCGCACUACGACAAAAUUCGGCUUACAGGUCCUUCUG